rnacentral:lncRNA from 1 species
UUAGGUGUAGGUUUUGUAGCAGCAUUCGUGUUCGUGCUUGUUACUAAUUUCGUAACCAUGAAUUUUUUUUAUGGGCAUUUUGUAGAGUCGUGGUUAGUUUGUCUCUCUUGCAUUAACCAUUAGUAUCAUUGGUCAAUAGCACAAUGGUUCCGUCGUCGCAGGGUUUGUCCGUGUGAAGAAAUUUAGGGGCUAAAUUUCUUGGAAGCGAGGGGGGGAUUGUUACGUUUAAAAAUCUACCCAGCAAACCUGUGCCGCAAGCCCGCUUCAUUUAGUACAGAUUAAUAAAUAAUGUUGAUAAAAACUACUUGCCUUAAGUAUUUCAUAUUUAAACAUGAUCAAUUUUAAGAUUUCCGAUCCAGACUGCAUUCUUCCUUUUUCCUCUUUUCAAUAUAAGAAAGAUAAAUAUCCUUGCUUGCAAUAAAUUUGUUAAAAUAAACCUUCAAUAAUUUCAAAUUUCAAUUUCAAUUGUUGGUUUUAACCAGGAAAUUAUUAUUCACUUUUUAUCACCUUUUAAUGUAAAAUAGUUUAUGCUUUCAUUAUAUUAUUUACUAAUCAUUUGAGGUUAGAAUCUGCUUCUUUUACUUUUGAAGUCGUUUCAAAUUCUGUCACGACUAGUGUCAAACCGAGGCAGUUUUGUUCUAUGGUUCACGGGACUACCUAUGUUUUUGAAUUUCUGUGUUCGGAAGGAAGUUGGCGUUUCUCAUAGCUGACUGGCGAGCGUCCUUUUUGAAUUUGAUGGGGACGCGUCUUUGGAUCGUGUAAUUUAGGUAAAAUUUGUAUGCUAAUUAUUUUGAGGCAUCUGGCUUUCCUGGAUAAAUUUACCUAUUACACAUAGUGGGGCUAGAUAAUAGAUGUAGUGUGUAUUGGAUAUUUUAGUAUUUAGCCCAAGCCGAAAAGGGAUUAUUUGUUCAAAGACGUGGUCACUUCGCACGCUAGGCAGCGCUGUGUAUGAGGUCUAUAUAGGGAGUAUUAUUUGGAUUAGAGAAGCUCCAUAGGAGAGCAUAGCGUGGUUGACCGUAGUAAAAACCCCGAUAGGCUUAAGCGGUAAGUAAUUCAUGCAAUGAUUAGAUUCUUUAUGUAUUGAGGGACAGACAACCAGUGUCUUAAUUUUAUUUAGUGUUUAUUGAAGCCCGUUGGCUAGGGGUUUAUUCUUGAUUUGUUGCUAAGCCUCCUACAAUGUAGAUGACAUUGCAAGCUAACUUCUAGGCUAUGUUAUAAGUGGUAAAAGCCUGUUUAAAUAAAAUCAGUAACAAACUUAUUGAAAUAUUUAUAUUAUACCAGGGGGUUACGAGAAGAACCUAGUUGAAAUAUAUUUAUUGAUAUGGAACAGAUUUAGUGAUUCAUAGCACCGUACGAGAUGACAAUAUUACUUCGAUGGAUGCAACUGUCAAUUGGGAAUUGAGUAGGCAAUGGGUUUAGAAACCGAGAAUAAACGUUUAAAUAAAUUCAUUGUAAUAAGUGUCUAAUGAGUUUUGUUUUUAUUUUAGGGGUUUUUAUUUUUUUUUGGAGUUUUGGAGUUCGUUUUACUUGGAGUUUUCGUUUUUGGAUUUUUGUAUAUGGUUUCUGGUUUUACUUUUUGUGGAUGUUUUUGGUUACAUUUGGAUGCUAAGAGUCGUCAUUGGAUACAAGUAUAUGUGGUGAAGAAGAUUUCUACUAACGAAUUGUAGUUUGUUACCAGACUAUGGAGGAUAUCAGGUUUUUAUAACAAUGUUAAACAUUUAAAUUCAUUUGUCUUAUUUAUUUUAUAUUAUUUAAUGAUAGUAAAUAUUUUAGGUUUUUUUUUGUUAACAAAUUAACGUGUUCUUUUUUUUUAUUAUUAUUAUUAAAAUUUAUUGGGGAUAGUCAUACAUUCAACUUUAUAUACAUAUAACUUAUUAUAGAGGUCAUUAUAGUACAUUACUUUUUAGAUUUGUAUUAGUGGCACUCAUGAGCUCAUGCAGCAACUAUAGGGUAGGCACUAGUAUCGCCAAUGUUUAAAAUAUUUCUAAUCUGUAAAUUUAAAUUAUUUUGAUAUUCAUUUCCUUAGCCACUUUAUGCUACCAAUGACUGGACUUGUUUAUUUUCAUAUUUAUUUGUGUUGCAACUGUUUAAUAAAUAAAUGUAAGUAAA